rnacentral:rRNA from 1 species
UACGUAGGGGGCAAGCGUUGUCCGGAAUCAUUGGGCGUAAAGAGCGUGUAGGCGGCUUGGCAAGUCUGGUGUGAAAUCUUGCGGCUCAACCGCAAGCGGUCACUGGAAACUGCCUCGCUAGAGUCCGGAAGAGGAGAGCGGAAUUCCUGGUGUAGCGGUGGAAUGCGCAGAUAUCAGGAAGAACACCGGUGGCGAAGGCGGCCUUCUGGACGAUGACUGACGCUGAGACGCGAAAGCGUGGGGAGCAAACAGG